rnacentral:rRNA from 1 species
CCUACGGGAGGCAGCAGUGAGGAAGAUUGGUCAAGGGGCGCGAGCCUGAACCAGCCAAGUCGCGUGAGGGAUGAAGGUUCUAUGGAUCGUAAACCUCUUUUAUAAGGGAAUAAAGUGUGGGACGUGUCCGAUGUUGUAUGUACCUUAUGAAUAAGGAUCGGCUAACUCCGUGCAAGCAGCCGCGGUAAGACGGAGGAUCCGAGCGGUAUCCGGAUUUAUUGGGGUUAACGGGUGCGUAGGCGGCCUUUGAAGUCAGCGGUGAAAGUCUGUGGCUCAACCAUAGAAUUGCCGUUGAAACUGGGGGGCUUGUGUAUGUUUGAGGCAGGCGUAAUGCGUGUUGUAGCGGU